rnacentral:misc_RNA from 1 species
CGCAGCCGCGGUAAUUCCAGCUCCAAUAGCGUAUAUUAAAGUUGUUGCAGUUAAAAAGCUCGUAGUUGAAUUUCGGGAUCAAUAUGUUGGUCGUGCCUUGGUACGUACUGGCAUUAUUGGUUUCUACCUUCUGAAGAACCUCGAUGUCAUUAAUUUGGUGUCUUGGGGAAUCAGGACUGUUACUUUGAAAAAAUUAGAGUGUUUAAAGCAGGCUCGCGCUUGAAUACAUUAGCAUGGAAUAAUGAAAUAGGACGUUUGAUUCUAUUUUGUUGGUUUCUAGGAUCGACGUAAUGAUUAAUAGGGAUAGUUGGGGGCAUUAGUAUUCAAUUGUCAGAGGUGAAAUUCUUGGAUUUAUUGAAGACUAACUACUGCGAAAGCAUUUGCCAAGGAUGUUUUCAUUAAUCAAGAACGAAAGUUAGGGGAUCGAAGACGAUCAGAUACCGUCGUAGUCUUAACCAUAAACUAUGCCGACUAGGGAUCGGAUGAUGUUAAUUUUUUAAUGACUCAUUCGGCGCCUUAC